GUGCCAGCCGCCGCGGUAAUACAGAGGUGCCAAGCGUUAGGCGGAAUCACUGGGCUUAAAGCGUGUGUAGGUGGAUGCCUAAGUACCUUGUGAAAUCCCACGGCUUAACCGUGGAACUGCUCGGUAUACUGGGUGUCUUGAGCCAACUAGGGGCAGUCGGAACAAACGGUGGAGCGGUGAAAUGCGUAGAUAUCGUUUGGAACGCCAAUGGUGAAAACAGACUGCUGGGGUUGUGCUGACACUGAGACACGAAAGCCAGGGGAGCGAACGGGAUUAGAAACCCUUGUAGUCC
rnacentral:rRNA from 1 species